rnacentral:rRNA from 1 species
UACGUAGGGGGCUAGCGUUGUCCGGAAUCAUUGGGCGUAAAGAGCGCGUAGGCGGCCAGAUAAGUCCGGUGUGAAAGUCAAAGGCUCAACCUUUGAAUGCCGCUGGAAACUGUCUGGCUAGAGUCCGGAAGGGGCGAGUGGAAUUCCUGGUGUAGCGGUGAAAUGCGCAGAUAUCAGGAGGAACACCGAUGGCGAAGGCAGGUCUCUGGGCUGUAACUGACGCUGAGGAGCGAAAGCAUGGGGAGCGAACAGG